rnacentral:rRNA from 1 species
GGUUGAUUCUGCCUGACGUGGAUGCUAUUCUCUGGGACUAAGCCAUGCAUGUUGAUGAACCUUGUGGGGAUUGACGGACGGCUCAGUGAUAGUACGAUGAUUUGGUUGGCGGGAGAGCUGUAACUGCGGGUAAACUGCAGGUAGGGGGCUAGGAGUGUUUUUGACACAGCCAAGUAAGUGUUAGGCCUAUCAGCUGGUUGUUAGGGUAAUGGCCUAACUAGCGGAGACGGGAGACGGGGAUCGGGGUUUAUUCCGGAGAGGAGCCUGAGAGAUGGCUACUACGUCCAAGAUGGCAGCAGGCGCGAAACUUGCCUAAUCCUUUGGGGAGCGGUUAUGAGAAGUGAGUUUUUUUCGAGUGUAAAGGAGCGAGAUUGAUUGGAGGGCAAGCGGGUGCCAGCAGCCGCGGUAAUACCUGCUCCAAUAGUGUCUAUGGUGAAUGCUGCAGUUAAAAAGUCCGUAGUCUUUGUAUGUCUUUGUUUGGGGGAUUAUGUCCUGAUGUGGAUGUAAGAGGUUUGGCAGAGGACGAGGGGCACCGGAUAGUUGGGCGAGGGGUGAAAUACGAAGACCCUGACUGGACGGACAGAAGCGAAAGGCUGUGCUCUUGGACUUAUGUGACGAUGAAGGACGAAGGCUAGAGGAUCGAAAUCGAUAGAUACCGUUUUAGUUCUAGCAGUAAACGAUGCCGACUGACGGGACUAUAUAGUGUUGUGCAUGAGAAAUCUUGAGUAUGUGGGUUCUGGGGAUAGUAUGCUUGCAAGAGUGAAACUUGAAGAAAUUGACGGAAGAACACCACAAGGAGUGGAUUGUGCGGCUUAAUUUGACUCAACGCGGGGCAACUUACCGGUUCUGAAGCGGGCAGGAGAACGAGGACGGGAUGCGGCGCGGCGGUGGUGCAUGGCCGUUUGAAAUGGAUGCCGUGAAGCUUUGGAUUAAGUUGCGUAAGAUGUGAGACCCUUUGACAGUGCUCUUUGGGGCAAGGGAGGAAUGGAACAGAACAGGUCCGUUAUGCCCUGAGAUGAAUGCGGCGGCACGCGCACUACGAUAGAUGGCGAGGGAGCCUGACUGUGAGGGAUGAAGCUGUGUAAUGGGCUUCUGAACGUGGAAUUCCUAGUAAUAACGAUUGAACAAGUUGUUUUGAAUGGGUCCCUGUCCUUUGUACACACCGCCCGUCGCUAUCUAAGAUGACGCAGUGGAACGAAGAUUGGAAGGUCUGAGUCCUUCGUGUUAGAUAAGAUAUAAGUCGUAACAUGGCUGCUGUUGGAGAACCAGCAGCAGGAUCAGUA